UAUAAUUAUGGAGCAAUAUUGUUUGGUGAAUUCACUAUAUUGUGCAUGUGAUCUCCGGGACUUAUUUUCUUUUAAUGUAUCUGUUUUUGUUUUUAUUCCCAGAACUAAACUCAGUGCCAGAAACAUGAUAGGAAAUUGGAGUGGAUAGUGGCAUUUUAAGAGUUGGACCAUACUGCCAGGGAGAAGAGCUGUGGUGCUAGAAAUACAGAGAGAGAGGCUACUUCCUUACUGCCAGAACCCUGUUGAGACCCUGCUGUCCCAGGAAUCCGUAGUACUAGCAGCAAAGCCGUGGUGUCUCCCCAAGCAUCCUCAGCCUUCUUUGGCAAGGUGAGAAGAUAAAGAGUUUAACAAGAGAACCAGAAGAGAGUCUUGCAUCAAUCUUUAAUUUCAGUAUCAACCUACCUCAUAGGCUUGGAGUGAGGAUUUGCUAUGGUUUUCCUCUAGUCUGGCCACGUGAGACAAGGAGUCACAGUUAUUAAUGAACCAUGACCUAUAAAGGGGACAAUCGAAGAUGGUCAACUGGUAUUUUAUAAAGGUCAGGGGUUGCUCUAAAAGAACUUGUGUAGGGACAACGAUGGUUCUUCUACCACACAAGGAAGUAAAUCCAGAUUCAUAGGAACGUACGACUAGAAUGGACAGCAAGAGGUGAAGUGUUUCAGCCCUUACCACCAAACAGGACAUCCGAUCAUUCAAAAUACCAGUGGAAAUAGAAUGGACACAGUCAACCAGAUCUUGUUUUGGAAACCAAAUGUUUCUCUAGCAAAUGGCUCAGUUAACACCUGCAUAGCAUGUGAGCUGAUGUUCUAGAAUAGCAAGGAGUCCUGAAGACGUUUUGCCUGUCUUAUUACUUUUCUUGACUUAUCUCUUGGAAGUGAGAUUUUUUUUUUAAGGUUAUGAAAGAUAGUACAAUGUUGGAUCUAUCAUGUCAUGAUAUAUCCUAUAAGGUGUGUGUUCCUGAAAGAUAUGUGGAAACGAAUAUCAACUUUACUGUAAGAGGAAGAGUAUUUCUCAUUUUUUAGGGCAUGGGCAGGAGUGUGGGCUCCAGUUGUGGAAAUGCAGAACUUCUAGAUAUAGGAUGUUUAUCAAGAAGAAUUUAUUAAGAUUUUUCACAGAACGAUUGCAGAGUUUAUUAUGAAGAUUUUAUUUAGCAAAGUAGUGAUAAGUUCAUCAUUGUGUGAGUAAUAAGAUUCAUCAAUUACCGCUCCUUGCAUGGCAUUAUUUUCAAUUAUUUUAGUGUAUUGUCUUUUUUCUCUCCCUUACCAGCUUUCCCAAAAUUUAAUACACUUCCUUAAAAAAAAAAACUGAUGUCCUUUAAUUUCUAUCGUUUUCCAAAAAAAGAGUA